GUGGGGAAUUUUGGACAAUGGGCGCAAGCCUGAUCCAGUAAUGCCGCGUGCAGGAAGAAGGCCUUCGGGUUGUAAACUGCUUUUGUACGGAACGAAAAGGCUCUGGUUAAUACCUGGGGCUGAUGACGGUACCGUAAGAAUAAGCACCGGCUAACUACGUGCCAGCAGCCGCGGUAAUACGUAGGGUGCAAGCGUUAAUCGGAAUUACUGGGCGUAAAGCGUGCGCAGGCGGUUAUGUAAGACAGAGGUGAAAUCCCCGGGCUCAACCUGGGAAGUGCAUCUGUGACUGCACGGCUGGAGUGCGGCAGAGGGGGAUGGAAUUCCGCGUGUAGCAGUGAAAUGCGUAGAUAUGCGGAGGAACACCGAUGGCGAAGGCAAUCCCCUGGGCCUGCACUGACGCUCAUGCACGAAAGCGUGGGGAGCAAACAGGAUUAGAAACCCGUGUAGUCC
rnacentral:rRNA from 1 species